rnacentral:rRNA from 1 species
UACGUAGGGUCCAAGCGUUAUCCGGAAUCACUGGGCGUAAAGCGUGCGUAGGUGGAUGUUUAAGUGUAUUGCGAAAUCUUGUGGCUCAACCAUAUAGACUGUAAUGCAUACUGGAUAUCUAGAGGACGGCAGAGGCAAGUGGAAUUUGUAGUGUAGCAGUGAAAUGCGUAGAUAUUACAAGGAACACCAAUGGCGAAGGCAGCUUGCUGGGCCGACCCUGACACUGAGGUACGAAAGCGUGGGGAGCGAACAGG